AACCAAGAUGAUAGAGUUUGUAGACAAGUAUACACCAGUAGUUAUAAGGGGCCCAUCCUCCAUGCUUGGUGUGGACACCAGACUCUGGUCCUCUGGGAGCUGAUGAUCACUUUUAGAAAGGACAAAGAGGCAUUGUGGAAGAGCUGCAAAUCUCUACAACACUGUUAUGUGUCAGUGGAUUCUACUGAAUGUUAGAGAAGAUAUCCAUCCAGGGCUUACCAUCCAUGGAUUCAUUUGUGAUAGUACCAGAGUAUUUGUAUUUGGAGGAAGAGUUGAAGAUGCAAGAUACAAGUUCUGUGAGUUAUAAGCAAGUUGUUUAUUAUGGGAAAAAAAGGAAAAUCCCAUCCCCUAUCUUUUUAUGUAUCUGUUUGUAUUUAAAUUAAUAUAAAUUUUCUCUAAUGGUAACAAUGGCUAUUCAUCUUGUGGUCAGAAAAUAAAGGUGAAGAGUCAAAAAUAAUAUUCCCAGAUAUUUAAAUAACUUGUAUGAAUUGGAGCCACAGGAUGCUUCUGGAGCUUUUGAUUGUAACAGUCCAAUGGCUCAAUGGAUUGUGCCUUCUCUGAGACAUGUGGCCAUUCUAGAUUGUAGCAAGAAAAAUUCUGUGGCAAGAAAGAUUCCAGAAGUACUGAAAUAUAUAUUACUGAUGAAAUAUGUGAUGCUUAGCUGGAUGAUCUAUGGCAAUUUGAUAUUAAGUCUAUAUGAUACUUAAAACCACAAAUGAAAGGAACAGUGCCACUGCAAUGAAGUUUUACAUAGCCUUUUUAGAGAAAAGAAGAUGCAUAUUUUUGGUGGAUGGGAUCCACAUAAAGGGAAAAAUAAUAAAUACUUGCUUUAUGAUUAUGAAUGGCAAUAUAACAGUUCAUUUUCUUACCUGAAUCUGGAUACAAUAAGGUAGGCCACGCUAGUAUCAGAUUCUUGGAACCAUUAAAUAAGUAAUCAAGAUAUAAGAACAACAGCUCACCAUGUGCUAUUGCAGGUGGUACAGGUGCUCAAUUGUCUUUUUGGGGUGGAAGUGAUAGCUACAAAAAAAUUGGGAGUAGUCACAUAUGCAGCAAAGAUCUUUGUUACUUUGCUACUAAGAAACCACUAGCACCAUCACAAAUUCUACAGAUUAAAGCUACUACCAACACUUACGUCAAGUGGCAUAAAGUGUCCGUAGCUUUCGCAGUUAGAUAUGUAUAUGCUGUACUAAAUUGCAUCAUUAGAUUCUCCAGCAUCACCAUUUAGGAAAAGAUUCAGAAUGCAUGCUCACAGCCAGGCGGUAAUAACAUUAUACCCCAAAGGAUUCAAGUUUCUCUGUUUAAAUAAUUUAAAAUUCCAAUAAUAUAGUAAACCGUGAAAAAAACUGGACAUAUAGCUGUGAGGGGAAAUUCAGUAGACAACAAAUUAGAUCUCCAUAUAUGGGCAGAAACCAUUUCAUUUUUAUUUGGUGACUAAUGCUUUUAAUCAUGGCAGUUAUAAGAUGAAUACGCUAAGGGAAAUUGAAAUUCACUCUACUUCAACAAAAGUAGAUGAACUAAAUAGUUGCCUGAGCUUAAGAAACUUCUGUACCCAGCACUGUUUUGAGCAAACAAAUGAUGGAAAUCCAGUAGAU
rnacentral:lncRNA from 1 species